GACGAACGCUGGCGGCGUGCCUAAUACAUGCAAGUAGAACGCUGAAGGAGGAGCUUGCUUCUCUGGAUGAGUUGCGAACGGGUGAGUAACGCGUAGGUAACCUGCCUGGUAGCGGGGGAUAACUAUUGGAAACGAUAGCUAAUACCGCAUAAUAGUAGAUGUUGCAUGACAUUUGCUUAAAAGGUGCAAUUGCAUCACUACCAGAUGGACCUGCGUUGUAUUAGCUAGUUGGUGGGGUAACGGCUCACCAAGGCGACGAUACAUAGCCGACCUGAGAGGGUGAUCGGCCACACUGGGACUGAGACACGGCCCAGACUCCUACGGGAGGCAGCAGUAGGGAAUCUUCGGCAAUGGACGGAAGUCUGACCGAGCAACGCCGCGUGAGUGAAGAAGGUUUUCGGAUCGUAAAGCUCGGUUGUAAGAGAAGAACGAGUGUGAGAGUGGAAAGUUCACACUGUGACGGUAUCUUACCAGAAAGAGACGGCUAACUACGUG
rnacentral:rRNA from 1 species